AUACGGGGGGUGCAAGCGUUAUUCGGAUUUAUUGGGCGUAAAGAGCGCGUAGGCGGCUUGGUAAGUCAGAUGCGAAAGCCCGGGGCUCAACCCCGGAAGUGCAUUUGGAACUAUCAGGCUUGAGUAUGGGAGAGGGAAGUGGAAUUCCUGGUGUAGAGGUGAAAUUCGUAGAUAUCAGGAGGAACACCGGUGGCGAAGGCGACUUCCUGGACCAAUACUGACGCUGAGGCGCGAAGGCGUGGGGAGCAAACAGGAUUAGAAACCCGAGUAGUCC
rnacentral:rRNA from 1 species